rnacentral:rRNA from 1 species
AUUGAACGCUGGCGGCAGGCCUAACACAUGCAAGUCGAGCGGAUGAAGGGAGCUUGCUCCUGGUUUCCGCGGCGGACGGGUGAGUAAUGCCUAUGAAUCUGCCUGGCAGUGGGGGAUAACGUCCGGAAACGGGCGCUAAUACCGCAUACGUCCUGAGGGAGAAAGUGGGGGAUCUUCGGACCUCACGCUCUCAGAUGAGCCUAGGUCGGAUUAGCUAGUUGGUGGGGUAAAGGCCUACCAAGGCGACGAUCCGUAACUGGUCUGAGAGGAUGAUCAGUCACACGGGAACUGAGACACGGUCCAGACUCCUACGGGAGGCAGCAGUGGGGAAUAUUGGACAAUGGGCGAAAGCCUGAUCCAGCCAUGCCGCGUGUGUGAAGAAGGUCUUCGGAUUGUAAAGCACUUUAAGUGGGGAGGAAGGGCAGUAAGUUAAUACCUUGCUGUUGUGACGUUACCAACAGAAUAAGCACCGGCUAACUUCGUG